CAGGGAGACAACAAAAUGUUAAAUAUUAAUUUUGUCACCUUAGGUCGAUCGGUAUCUCACAUUCUUGAUUUAUUUAAGAAUUUUAUUUCCUAAGUUUUUUCUAGGUCACACCCAUUAUUUUUCCUGGGCCAUUAGCUCAGGUGGUUAGAGCGCACCCCUGAUAAGGGUGAGGUCCCUGGUUCAAGUCCAGGAUGGCCCAUAUCUCUAUGUUGGGGGUAUAGCUCAGUUGGUAGAGCGCCUGCUUUGCAAGCAGGAUGUCAGCGGUUCGAGUCCGCUUACCUCCACUGAUUACCACCUCUUCCAUAAUUUAUGAGAGGGAAAAGUUUUGGGUAGUGAUCACAUUCUGAACGAAGACAGCUUCCUAAUGAAAUCAUUAAGAUGCUGGACUCAUUGAAUUACUUUCAUUGUUUUCAGAGAACCUUGACAACUGCAUAGAUUAUUUUUAAAGACAAUAAGCAUCUUUGAUGAUGCAGAUUUAUUAUUUGUGCGAAUGCAUUAAUAACAAUUCUAUUAAGCUGAUGCUUCAAUUUUUGAAGUUAUU
rnacentral:tRNA from 1 species